CUGCUCCACCAUGGCUCCAGUCACAACUGUGUCUCCUGGGCCUGCUACCCUCCAAGUGUGCUUCCAGGAAACCCCGCACUGUGGAGAGUCUGCAGAGGUUGC